rnacentral:rRNA from 4 species
CCUACGGGAGGCAGCAGUAGGGAAUCUUAGACAAUGGGGGCAACCCUGAUCUAGCCAUGCCGCGUGUGUGAUGAAGGCCCUAGGGUCGUAAAGCACUUUCGCCAGAGAUGAUAAUGACAGUAUCUGGUAAAGAAACCCCGGCUAACUCCGUGCCAGCAGCCGCGGUAAUACGGAGGGGGUUAGCGUUGUUCGGAAUUACUGGGCGUAAAGCGCACGUAGGCGGAUUAGUAAGUUAGAGGUGAAAUCCCAGGGCUCAACCCUGGAACUGCCUUUAAUACUGCUAGUCUUGAGUUCGAGAGAGGUAAGUGGAAUUCCGAGUGUAGAGGUGAAAUUCGUAGAUAUUCGGAGGAACACCAGUGGCGAAGGCGGCUUACUGGCUCGAUACUGACGCUGAGGUGCGAAAGUGUGGGGAGCAAACAGGAUUAGAUACCCUGGUAGUCCACACCGUAAACGAUGAAUGCCAGACGUCAGCAAGUAUACUUGUUGGUGUCACACCUAACGGAUUAAGCAUUCCGCCUGGGGAGUACGGUCGCAAGAUUAAAACUCAAAGGAAUUGACGG